UCACCUCCCGAUGCUUAGAGCAGAGUGCAGGCCUUUAAGGAACACGGUUUGCAGUGAUUGUCCCAUCCAGGAAAAGGGGUGAUGUUAAAGUUCUCCAGAUACAUUUACAGCUAUGACACUGAAAUACUUUAACCUUAGUGGCUUAUCUCAGAGGCCUGGGGAAGGGGGAAACAGCAGAUCCCAGUUUUGCCCUUGGUAUCUUUUCCAUGUGUCCUGCAGUUGGGAUUUAUAUCAUAAUCGGUGAGGAAUGGUUGCAGUAUGUGCAGAGCCAGGCACAUCCCUCCUUGCUUUCCCAAGAGGCUUAAAAAUGUGGUAGAUUUAAUCUAGAU
rnacentral:lncRNA from 1 species